CUUAUGCAGUGUACGUCUCUGUUUUCCGAUGAGUGUGUGUCACUUCCGUAGUGGUGAGGGACGUGUUACUCAAACAAACCAGAGAAGUCCAACACCCCGCUGGCCGGCAUCACCGUGAGCAGCCACAGUGCACAGCGAUGCAGUUGGUUGGGGACAUUGGGAAAUGCAGGAGAGGACCCUUCUCCCUGGCUGGACCCUGGGUUUGCCUCUCAGUCACUCCGGGCUGGGUCUCCUGUCGCUCUGCCCCAUCCAUGCCUGGUGGGCAGCAGGACGCCUCACACGGACCAGACGGACGAUCUCUCGGGUAUUUCAGGAAGCCCGUGACAGAGUUCAAGGCCACAGUUAGAAUGGCAGCAGUCACCAUGAACUGAGGACCUAACGCCCUUCACUCUGCUCGCUGAUCACACUCGUCUUCACCCUGUUCCACGCAGCAGCUUCCUCGUGGCUCCCCCCUUCCUCGCCUUCCAGCAGGUUGCAAGAAGCUGUUUCUCACCCAGUUGAAACCGUGAGAGGGUUUGGUUUCCUGCAGCUCGCCCCGCCGCCUCCAGCACCUGAGCCCUCACACGCCCAUCCGCCCUCUCUGCUGCAGGCUGCCGCUGGCCCCCUGGCUCAGCCGUUGGCCUCUCUCUGUCAGCUUUUCCCCAAACACAGACUGUUGCCCUGGCCAGUAGGUGACCUUUUCUUGGCCAGCCUCCAGGCAAAGCUGCUGCCUGAAAACG